rnacentral:lncRNA from 1 species
CGCUGUAGCAGGGCAUUACGCCCACGGAGCUAUGACCUAAUGUGAAUGCAUUACGAAUACAAACUUUAUAUUCAUUAUAUCCGUAUGGGAAAAGUGCUGAGUAUAACAGCCUUGACGUAAUUCGAAGGUAUCCAAGGAGCAUUUCGCUUGCAUGGCCAGGUAUCCACACACAUAGAUCACGUAGGAAGAAGGAGCUAGGUAAAAUGUGUACGCGUCCCCAAAUGGUUUACAUGACUCUCAUAUAGGCACAUGGAAACCCUAGCAAAAGUAUAAUUAAGCAACACAUUCACAUCAUGAUUAUCUUCGCAAAACACUACUAAUACACUGCAUGUGAUGGACCAUAACUGCAUCGAUAUAAGACUGCGUAGGUUCUUCAGAGACGGAUGCGCGCCCCCAACAAAUGUCACCCAAAUCAACUUGAUCCUUUCGAAAAGACACACACAGCGUUGAUCACUUGGCAAGUUCCGAGCGUACGGUGAAGCGUUGAGUCGUAACUCAUUCACACCGGUACCAGCUGGUAACUCCAGUUGGAACACUAGCCCAUAAAAGACCCUUCGGAGCUAACUCUGAGAAAUCGACGAUGAACCAGCACUUCCAUCAGGAAAAACAACCACGACAGAGGUUAAAAGAAGUAUUGCGUUGUUCCAUUCCUGAGUACUCGCAGUUUUCGCCGUUUAGCCGUUUACUUAUAACUGCAUAUAGAAAAGUUCCUAUGAUUGCGCCGGGGACACGGGAAACACAAUAGCCAUAAACAUAACACUUGUAGGUCUGCACCAGGUGCCCAGAGGACUGAACUACGGAACAUUUUCUUGGCUGAAUCACCAGUUACGUUUCACCUUUGGCGGCAAACCGCUUUUCUACCGCAUCGAUAUCAGUAAGAGACUAUGACGACCGUGCUCAUUAUUGGCCAACGAUCGCUACGAUUGCCUGAUCUCUAGACUGCGUAGACGCUAGGACAGGUGAAACGAUUCGCGUCUUGUGGCGUUUCACCGACGGUAAGCGGCGGCAACGAAUAGACAAGCAAACGUCGUUCAUGUCCAUAGGCCGUGCGCGACUCUCAGUGGGCAAGAGUGUUGAACUGCUCCUGUAGCCGCUGAUUCUGCUACCGUUAGUGUAGUAGUGAGCCACAACGGCAAACGCUGUUUGAAGGAAGGAACUGUCAUGCCGCUCACGGAGAAGGGACUGCGACAAUGCAACGUACCAACUGUGCCAGAAGUCUCAGGUGAUUCAGUUAUCUAUAUCUGAGUCAGAGCGGAUCGUAGACGAGAUUUAGAUAACCGUCUAAUUGCAUAAAAUCAAAAAGAGCCAGGUAGCCCGUUUUUCACUGCUCGGAUACGCGCUCCCGCAGCAGCUAUCAAAAAAAGGUACAGAAGUAACUUAAGCUACUAAAAAAUGGCGACAAGUUUCGAAAAUAAUAAGACUCCAAAUAUAGACGGAAGCUUCCCCGUCUGUUUCUCCUCUGCCUUCCACCGUACGCGUGAAAAAUGCGUCUCAACGUCUCAACAUUUGCAGCUAAAGUCCCCGGAGGGGACCCUGUCGAGAUGCGGAUUUCGUUGCUGUCGUGUGUGCACGUUUCUGCCGCUGGACAAGCCGAUCAUCAACCUGCAUAUAUAACAGGAGCGCGUGGACAGGGCCGCCCUGUUGGCCUACGUCAGAUAAACGCACAUGGAUCGAAACUAGGCCCCAUGGCAGAAUGGACAAGAAUUACUAGCGUUGAUAAAAUAUCAAACGUAUCAUGUGUGUUUUUUUUUAUAUAUUUUUUUGAGCUAAUAGCUAUUUUAUCCAGUGUGGAUAUACGAGUCUUCCGAUUUAAUCAAUAGUAUAAAUAUAUAUAAUUUUCAAGGCGGCCAAAAUACUGUUACGUGUGUAAUAAGAAUAAUGGCAACACGAGUGAUCUAGCUAUUACGAGUAUUCAAAAUUUUUAUAGAUAACCGCUCGUUUUGGUUAAGGGUAAUUCCUAUGGACUGCUAUCUGGAAUCAUUUGAAUAAGAAUAUAUGACCAGAAAGGCACCUUAUUUUGGUCAGUCUGAGUCGAUGCAUCCAGUCGCGCAAACAGCGAGUUAUAGUAAGGCCGUUACUAACUACCCUGUUAAGGCCGUUACUACCGCUCAUUGGAAAAUAUCCGUCUGAUAUUGUUACUGCUAUGGCCUGCAUUAAUACUAUUGUCUGAUUAUGCCAUAUUGCUCGCCGUUCUAUUAUGUGGAAUGCUGAACAGCUUGCUCAGUCGUUUGGUUUAUGUCCUGACUAAGCAAUGGUAAGACAGGGUCACUGGGGCCCGCUUUAAUUCACGUUUUGCUAAAUCAGCAAACGGUACAAAAGGAGCCUUGUGAGGUCUUACAAGAGCAAACGAUACUUACCGACGGCCUUCGAGAUUCAGGCAAUACAGAAAAUUUCACUUGUUUUUUUACUUCUACCUUCCCCUCUUCAAUGAGGACCAUAUUAGCCGCUAACAAGGUUAAAUAGGUCAUAGGUGCUUUUACCUCAACGUUGUCGCAAUCAAUGAGUGAACAUUUCAAUGAACAGUUAGUAAAUCUUCUUCUUACUAUGCCCCGCUCGAAUCCUAUUUGCCCUGUUGAUAGGUCAGUAGAAUUCCUUACGUAUUAGAAUUAGUCAAUAUUUACAAAGCAAAUUCAAUAUUUUGGUCGAGCGCGAAACAAAGCCCAGGGCUAUAAAAUGGUAAAGACGCUUUGCAGCUAACAAGAACCUGCGGUUGAUCAUAAAGGUGAACUAUAGCAUUGUGAUCUAAUAACGGUGAAUUAUAUGUAUAAUUUUUUGUUCAUUUUUAAGAAGUUGUAAUGUUAAAGUGUGUGAACGGUUCUAUGCGAUUGUACUUGGUACCAAAAUUUCGAAAUCGUCGACGGUACUGAUUCCAUCUUUUCAGAUUUGA